rnacentral:lncRNA from 1 species
GGAUGGAGCAGCUCACAGUGGUACCUGGGAUGGCCCCGUGGCUUCUGCCAAGCCAAAUUCUCCUGUUUCAUAAGAAUUGCUCACCGCAUUUGUUUGUAGAAGUCAACAUUAAUUAAUCUUCUCAACUGAAAUGAAAAUACUUUAUGGGAAUACACUGAGAACCCCCCGCCCCCGCCUGCCAGCACAUCAGAUGGAUUGAAGCAUUUGAAGGCAGAAUAUAGUUCACAGAAAAAGCAAACCUAAUUAUAACCUAAAGAUCAUACAUCAGGCGUUUAUCAAGUGCCUGCUCUUAGGCAGGGUCCUGAGCUGGGCCUGAGGCUCUGAAGGGAUCCAGGCAGGGCAGCCAUGUUCUGUUCUCCAUGAGCCCCUCUAGGAAGGGAGGAUGGUUAGAUUCAUCAUUAUGGGAGUGUCUUGGACAGAAGGCUUCAACUUAGAAAAGAUCUCCUGGAGGAAAUGACAGAGCGUGAGAGGUGAGUGGAGUUUGCUGGGCAGGAGGGGGAAGGCAGAAGGCUCACAGGGCAGGAGGGCAGAGGGCGGAGCAGGGCUGGAGUGGGGCUGGGGGAGACAGAGUGACUGAAGUGACAGGACUGGAGGGCCUGCAGGGGCAGUGAGGAGCUCUCCAGACUGAGGAGGGAGAGUGAGCGUCUCUGUGGCCGAGGUGGACAGUGGGGAGGCAAGCAGGGACAGGAAGGCCAACGCUGCCUUCCAGGAAGGAGACCCAGUGGGGAAGCCUGGCCUGUAGUGAGGGCUGGGGGCCUGCAGAGAAGGGCAGUGCCUGGGGGCAUAUCAGGUGGAGAACCAGUGCCAAACUCACACCCCUGGGGACGGUUGCCUCUGAACCCGCUGCCCACCUCACCCCCGACUUUCAGAUCCUUCUGCACACACUUCCUCUGCCAGGGACAGGACAGGAGCGCAGGCAGCUGCAUAAAAAGGAGGCCCUGCAGACCACGCCAUGUGCUUAUUCUGUGCAAACCCCACCGUCCCACCUUCCCCACAGCUGACUCCCAUGAGCGUGAGCACACGGAAGCUCUGUAUUGGCAAAAAACACUCAGCUGAGCAAUGAGACAGGGUGAUUUAUUUACAAGCAUUUGAGUAUUUCAGUUCCCCCCAUCACCACUCAGAAACAAAAGUGAAAAUUGAGGCCAAUUGCAUGGGAAGGAGCACAGCAUGCCUGAGAGGGCCGGGUCAGAGCUGUCCCAUGGGGACUGCAGGGGCCGCCUCUCUGAGCCCCAUCAGUCUGUGUGGAGAGGGACCCCUCAAUGAGGAGAUGAGUGGACUCAAGAGCAGACAAUGGACUGGGACUAAGUUCCUAUGGGCCCUGGGGGAGGUAGUGACAAGUUAUGGGAAGGUGAGGGGUGGAAGUGCACUGUGAACAAAGGUUGUCUAAUUAUGCAGAUUAAGUCUCUCAGGUAACAGCCCUUUAGUUGAAAGAAUAGGUGAAGUCUGUCCUGGGCAUGGAGACUUUGAGUUUUCUCUCCUAUGUUAAGAGUUAAUUUUCUGUGAUUAAUAUAAAUCCUAGGGAGGGGAGUCUAAGACAAAUGCAUUCCUUCCAGAGGAACUUCCCUAGGUCAGAUGAGGGACCUUCAGAGAGAGCCCACCCCCAUGCUUCAGAAGGGAAAGAGGGCAAGGAAGCAAGGUGGAGAGAGGCCUUGGUUCUGAGCUUAUUUCUGAGGCCUUUCAAUCUCCAUUGUUCAAAGCAGUCAGCAUGCCAGAGCACCAUAUCUUGGGGUGUUGUUUUCUGAGCGCAUGUUUUCAGGACAGGUUUUAUCCCUGGUCUCAAACCCAUCUCUCCACAGAGAGAAUAUAUUGAGCCCCAGUCCUUUUGGCUCAGCAUCUAGCCAGACCUGCCACAACACGGCUCUGUAGUUACUGAGUUUCUCACUGUGUUCUUGGGCUCUCAGCUUUAACUGGUGUGCUGAGAACUGAGUUCUCUUCCUUGAAGCUCCCAUCUCCAAGUCUAGUCCUCGAUCUUUGCUGUGGAAACCUUUGUGAAACACUUGUGCUGCCCCUGCCUGGACAGACCCCUGGACCCGGGGGUCAUGUCAGGCAUCACGCAGCAGUGUGGCUGCCUGUCUGCUGUGCUAAGAACCCUGAGCCUUCAGCCAGCAUGGUGGGUGGGAGCCCUGGGGUUGGUCACAUCUAUCCUGAGUGGGGCUGAGGCAUGUGGGUGCUGUGCCUCUCUUCCAGGCUUCUGGCCCCUAGUCGGCAAGCUAGGAUGUGUUUGCCGGAUGCUUACCAAACGCCAGAUACUGUGCGUGUUGUAUCAUUUAAUCUUCCCCAUCUCUGUGAGGGUAGACGUUAUCUCCACUUUGCAGAUCAGAAAAGUGGGACUCAGAGAAAUGAGACCCUUUCCCAAGCAGCUCAGACAGGAAGGUGUUGUGGGCAGGUCUUCCCAGGUCUUACCCAGCAGUACUCACUAGCGCUCCGUCUGUUCUGAGCCCCUCCUUCCUGGUCCUAUGAAGGUCUCUCUCCUCUCAGUAGCAGGCCCCACAUUCAGCUCACUUGCUCUGUCUCCUGCCAUCUGCUUCACAGCUCAAGACCCCUGGGCCCCCUGCUUAGCUUAACCCUGGUCUGUCCCUUUCUGACUUGGCCCGUGAGAUGUCUAUGUU